GAACGCUGGCGGCGUGCCUAAUACAUGCAAGUCGAGCGAACGGACGAGAAGCUUGCUUCUCUGAUGUUAGCGGCGGACGGGUGAGUAACACGUGGAUAACCUACCUAUAAGACUGGGAUAACUUCGGGAAACCGGAGCUAAUACCGGAUGAUAUUUUGAACCGCAUGGUUCAAAAGUGAAAGACGGUCUUGCUGUCACUUAUAGAUGGAUCCGCGCUGCAUUAGCUAGUUGGUAAGGUAACGGCUUACCAAGGCAACGAUGCAUAGCCGACCUGAGAGGGUGAUCGGCCACACUGGAACUGAGACACGGUCCAGACUCCUACGGGAGGCAGCAGUAGGGAAUCUUCCGCAAUGGGCGAAAGCCUGACGGAGCAACGCCGCGUGAGUGAUGAAGGUCUUCGGAUCGUAAAACUCUGUUAUUAGGGAAGAACAUAUGUGUAAGUAACUGUGCACAUCUUGACGGUACCUAAUCAGAAAGCCACGGCUAACUACGUG
rnacentral:rRNA from 1 species